GCAGCUGAGACUUGGAGAUGGAUUAGCCGCUGUCGAUGCUAUAGCAAAACCAGAGGUAUGACUUGAAAGAUCAAACUUGAAAGAAGAAACUCUCAAAUAUUUCUUAUUUCAGAUGGAAGAACAAGCUAACAGCGAGAACACUAGACAUAAAUUGCACAUACUACUCAUUGACGCUGAUUCCUCCGAUCCAAGGUGCGGUUCUGUCUUUUCUGUUGAUAUUUGUUGAAGUGAUCAGAUAACUCCGUUGCAGUAAAUGGGCUAAGCUGCCCUCCAGAGGAAUUCCUUCUCGAAACAUUCCUCCGCAGUGUGAAAGCUGCUCUGGAACCCGAAGGAAUCCUCGUCAUAUACGUUGUUUCGCGGGCUCGUGAGCCUCAAGCUCGCUAGACGAAGAAAAAGGUCUGGUUUUAUUUUCUUUCCAUCUUUUCGCAUUCUCUGUGGGGGUUUUUGCGCGAGUUUUCUCUAGAGAAACGCACUGUACAGAUGUACCAUUGCUAUACUUUUUUUUGCAAACAAAAGAGUCCUAAACGAUGAUCCUUGGUGUGUCAUCGAAAUCAAAGGAAAGAUGGUUUUUUGUUCUCCUGCCAACUGCAUGAGAAGAUUCAUCGCGUGAAUCUCUCAGAAAGCCACAGGAGAGAUCGACAAGAUUUAAUCUGUGCAUUGUGUGAAUGAGCGACACGCACUGGAAAUUAAUCGCGUGUAGCCCCAGAAAAGAUGCACGAAAAAGCGAGAGAAUGAAGAAUCUCUCCUACAUGAGAUGAGAUCUUCGUCCAGAGAAGAAGAGAUGAAAGAAAUCCCAGGACAUUGCGAAAGAAGAUUAGCAAUGUAGCAUUAGCUGAACGGGCAAAGCACACGCGAUAGAAUCUUCGCAGUGUCCCAGUACUAAAUGCGCGAGAAAAAAAAGAGAGAGAGAAGAAGGCGCUGUGGCGUCCAUCAGUCGAACAAGGCAGCGAACAACGAAUCGCUGACCCGUGCCAUGGAAGCCGCGAGAAAUCGUUGUGGCAUCCGCGUAUAAGCGAGCCGCAAAGAAAGAGCGGCGCCCUCAAUGUUAAGAUGCAAGAACCCUAAAAAUGCAAAGCCCUAAAAUCGAGACUCGCUCUAGGGCACAUACACAAUGCGGCAAAGAGGAGCAGAUGGGUGAGGCGAGAUGAGCAGUUGGAGAAGGUAUGUGGGUGGGUGAGGAGUUGGGCAGGUAGAUGGGUGAGAUGGAUGAAGUGAGGAGCUCGGUGGGCGAGUGAGGAGCUAGGUGGGUGAGGUGGGUGAAGUGAGGAAUGGUGGGCAUACAUGUUCAUAGGGAAUUAGGCAAGUUUGGUUUGCUGCCGAACCAGACUAGUUCAGCUACAAAAAAGACAAGUGAAAAUGAAACAAAGAAAAAAGAAAGAAAGAUUAAGAAAAAGAAAAAAUAGAAAAGAGAAGAUGGAAACAUGAGACUAAGUAGGAGAACCACUUAUCUGGACUCCAACUUAAAGCCUCUUCACCUCUAGAAAGUGCCUUAAACAUAGUCCAAUUGCUCUCAAAGUUCCAAGGGAAUGAAGUGAUGGAAGUGAAUGUGUUGCUCAAGAAUGGUAACUGCAAGAAUAAUGGAAGACAGCAGCCUAAUAGAUGGACAGUGAUGGUUGAUUAUAAUGGAGUGAUAAUGGCUGAAGUGGUUGGCAGCAUGUGUGCUUGUCACAGAAGAAGAAAAAGCUUGCAAUCUUUGCAAACAUCUGUUGAGAUCACUGUGUACUGUUGCUGUAGAAAUGUGGGAUUGGAUAAAUGUUCGUCCAAAGUAAUGCCUAGUUUCUUAUGCUCAUCAGAUCUAACUGAC
rnacentral:lncRNA from 1 species